CCUACGGGUGGCUGCAGUGGGGAAUAUUGGACAAUGGGGGGAACCCUGAUCCAGCCAUGCCGCGUGUGUGAAGAAGGCCCUCGGGUUGUAAAGCACUUUCAGUGAGGAAGAACGCCUGGUGGUUAAUACCCAUCAGGAAAGACAUCACUCACAGAAGAAGCACCGGCUAACUCCGUGUCAGCAGCCGCGGUAAUACGGAGGGUGCGAGCGUUAAUCGGAAUUACUGGGCGUAAAGCGCGCGUAGGUGGCUUGAUAAGCCGGUUGUGAAAGCCCCGGGCUCAACCUGGGAACGGCAUCCGGAACUGUCAAGCUAGAGUGCAGGAGAGGAAGGUAGAAUUCCCGGUGUAGCGGUGAAAUGCGUAGAGAUCGGGAGGAAUACCAGUGGCGAAGGCGGCCUUCUGGACUGACACUGACACUGAGGUGCGAAAGCGUGGGUAGCAAACAGGAUUAGAUACCCCAGUAGUC
rnacentral:rRNA from 1 species